rnacentral:pre_miRNA from 1 species
UAAAUUAGCCUUUGUAUGUUAGAUCGAAGAGCAAAUUGGCCCUUUUAUUGUAAAUUUCAUCCAUUUCUACUGUUAAAAACUAAUCCCUGUAUGUCGACAUGAGGAAUAUGUGGCACGCCAUGUCUGGUUAUUCCAUCAGCAUCGCUAGUUUAAUAAUUAGAAUAGAUGAAAAUUUUAACUAAAAGGACUACUUUGCUCUUUGAUUUAACUUAUAAGGACUAAUUUGC